rnacentral:rRNA from 1 species
UACGUAGGGCGCAAGCGUUAUCCGGAAUUAUUGGGCGUAAAGCGCGCGCAGGCGGUCCUUUAAGUCUGAUGUGAAAGCCCACGGCUCAACCGUGGAGGGUCAUUGGAAACUGGGGGACUUGAGUACAGAAGAGAAGAGUGGAAUUCCACGUGUAGCGGUGAAAUGCGUAGAGAUGUGGAGGAACACCAGUGGCGAAGGCGGCAUCCUGGACCGAGAUUGACGCUGAGGCGCGAAAGCUAGGGGAGCAAACGGG